rfam:Schistosoma haematobium scaffold214_5, whole genome shotgun sequence.
AUUCAGCUGAUGUGUCCCAAAUAGGACAAAAUGCACGUCAAACUGGAU